rnacentral:rRNA from 1 species
UACGUAGGGGGCCAGCGUUGUCCGGAAUGACUGGGCGUAAAGCGCGCGCAGGCGGUUUCUUGCGUCCGGGGUGCAAGGUGGGGGCUCAACCCCCAGAGGGCCCUGGAAACGGGGGAACUGGAGGGUCGGAGAGGUCCGGGGAAUUCCACGUGUAGCGGUGAAAUGCGUAGAGAUGUGGAGGAAUACCAGUGGCGAAGGCGCCGGACUGGACGAAACCUGACGCUGAGGCGCGAAGGCGUGGGGAGCAAACAGG